rnacentral:lncRNA from 1 species
UUUUGAGGCGAGGCCAAUGGCGCUAGGGACAUGUGCGGAAUGACAAAUUAAAAGAACAACAGACUAGGGAUUUGCUUUUCCUGACGCAAGUAUUUAUUUAUCAAAUUGAAGAACAAACUAGGGAUUUAUCUUUUCCGGAUGCAACCAAUCAAUGUAUCUAUUUUUUCCAGGUAUUUUCUUCAUAACAAAACAAAAAGGGAAAAAAAAAAAGAAAAAAAGAAAAAGAAAAAGGAAUUUCAAUUCAAUCAAUAGCAACAAAAAUAAACUGUCACAUGAAUUUUUUUUUUUUUAAUCUCUUUUCCGUUGAUCAGUAAUUUCUUUUAAUUCAAUUAAGGUAUUCUAAAUUUCAUCGGUAUUUACAUCGAGAUAUGAUAAUAAAAGCUUCUAUUUCAAUCAAGAGUACCAGGAACAGUUUGAUAUCCGUGAGGAUAGUAAUGAGGCGGAGCGCCGGAGAGGCCAGCAGGAGGUAUGGGCUGAGGGAAACCGAUGACAUGGUGAGACGGUGG